UUUAUGUAUCUAAAAAAAGUGUGUUUUGAAAGGGGGAGAGAGGGAAAGAUUAGUGAGGGAAGUAGUGUUGUGUGUCUGUGAAUGAUUUAUGAGAUGUGGGUUGCAGCUUAUGCUGGUUGGAUGAGCGAAGGCACAUGGGCUGUUCUUACUCAUUCACUUCUUCAUAAACUAAACCAAAGCUCAGCUCUGCUUGUUUCUCUUUGCACUCUCUUUCUUUCCAUGCAGGCUCUUUGUCUUACCCCAUUUAUGUUCUUCUUUAACCAGCCACAUAUUUCUGCUAACUGCCUGCACCAUUCCAUCUAAUGUAGAUUUGCCAAAAAUCUCUCCUGACAAAUGGAAUAGUCUCGCCUAUUGUUACGUGGUGACGUGAAACUGGAUGCCCCUAACACUAUCUACUGGUUUCUUGUAAUUUGGGACACACGAUACAGGAAGCAUUAGACAAUAAUGACAUCACUUAAAGAAAGAUGUGUUGGUAUAUCAGAGAAUUUCCAAUAUCAUGCUUAACUUCA